ACAAUAGUUAUACUGUAUAUAUGUUUGUGUGUGCAGGUUAGAUUCUUACCAGAACUCUCGCUCAGCAGGGUCGAUAGAGUUCCACUCCGAGGAGCUGGCA